rnacentral:rRNA from 1 species
UUUGAUCAUGGCUCAGAUUGAACGCUGGCGGCAUGCCUUACACAUGCAAGUCGAACGGUAACGGGCCUUCGGGUGCCGACGAGUGGCGAACGGGUGAGUAAUGCAUCGGAACGUACCUUUCAGUGGGGAUAACGUAGCGAAAGUUACGCUAAUACCGCAUAUUCUGUGAGCAGGAAAGCAGGGGAUCGCAAGACCUUGCGCUGAUUGAGCGGCCGAUGUCAGAUUAGCUAGUUGGUGAGGUAAAGGCUCACCAAGGCGACGAUCUGUAGCGGGUCUGAGAGGAUGAUCCGCCACACUGGAACUGAGACACGGUCCAGACUCCUACGGGAGGCAGCAGUGGGGAAUUUUGGACAAUGGGGGCAACCCUGAUCCAGCCAUGCCGCGUGAGUGAAGAAGGCCUUCGGGUUGUAAAGCUCUUUCGGCCGGGAAGAAAUCGCAUGGGUUAAUACCCUGUGCGGAUGACGGUACCGGCAUAAGAAGCACCGGCUAACUACGUG